rnacentral:rRNA from 1 species
AGGUCAUUGCUAUUGGAGUCCGAUUUAGCCAUGCUAGUUGUACGAGUUUAGACUCGUAGCAGAUAGCUCAGUAACACGUGGCCAAACUACCCUAUCGAGCACGAUACUCUCGGGAAACUGAGGUUAAUAGUGCAUACGGCUCGCUGCCUGGAGUGGCGCGAGCUAGAAAUGCUCAGGCGCGAUAGGAUGUGGCUGCGGCCGAUUAGGUAGACGGUGGGGUAACGGCCCACCGUGCCGAUAAUCGGUACGGGUUGUGAGAGCAAGAGCCCGGAGACGGUAUCUGAGACAAGAUACCGGGCCCUACGGGGCGCAGCAGGCGCGAAACCUUUACACUGCACGAGAGUGCGAUAAGGGGACUCCAAGUGCGAGGGCAUAUAGUCCUCGCUUUUUCCGACCGUAGGAUGGUCGGCGAAUAAGUGCUGGGCAAGACCGGUGCCAGCCGCCGCGGUAAUACCGGCAGCACAAGUGAUGACCGCUAUUAUUGGGCCUAAAGCGUCCGUAGCUGGCCACGCAAGUCCAUCGGGAAAUCUCUCCGCUCAACGGAGAGGCGUCCGGUGGAAACUGCAUGGCUUGGGACCGGAAGAUCCAGAGGGUACGUCUGGGGUAGGAGUGAAAUCCUGUAAUCCGAGACGGACCACCGGUGGCGAAAGCGCUCUGGAAAGACGGAUCCGACGGUGAGGGACGAAAGCUCGGGUCACGAACCGGAUUAGAUACCCGGGUAGUCCGAGCUGUAAACGAUGUCUGCUAGGUGUGGCACAGGCUACGAGCCUGUGCUGUGCCGUAGGGAAGCCGUGAAGCAGACCGCCUGGGAAGUACGUCUGCAAGGAUGAAACUUAAAGGAAUUGGCGGGGGAGCACUACAACCCGGAGGAGCCUGCGGUUU